rnacentral:rRNA from 1 species
UGGGGAAUAUUGCGCAAUGGGCGAAAGCCUGACGCAGCGACGCCGCGUGGGGGAUGAAGCUUUUCGGAGUGUAAACCCCUUUCGACCCGGACGAAGUCCCGCAAGGGAUUGACGGUACGGGUAUAAGAAGCCCCGGCUAACUACGUGCCAGCAGCCGCGGUAAUACGUAGGGGGCCAGCGUUGCUCGGAAUUACUGGGCGUAAAGGGUCCGUAGGCGGUGCGGCAAGUCGGAAGUGAAAUCUCAGGGCUCAACUCUGAGGCUGCUCCCGAAACUGCCGUGCUCGAGUGCGAGAGAGGCGAGUGGAAUUGCAGGUGUAGCGGUGAAAUGCGUAGAGAUCUGCAGGAACACCCGAAGCGAAAGCGGCUCGCUGGAUCGCAACUGACGCUGAGGGACGAAAGCUAGGGGAGCAAACAGGAUUAGAUACCCCCGUAGUCC